ensembl:lncRNA
CCGGCAGGGAAUGGAUGUCAGGUCAGAGCUUUUGAAGGGGAGAGGUGAUGAUCAGGACAGGUGUGCAGAUUACUGAUGGGAUACAGGUGCGGGUGAACAUGAUCUCCCAACAAGCUAAUUCGCCCUUCAACCAGACAGGGUGCGUUCCAGGACACCGGAAACACACUCCAGGACAGAAACACAGGCAAACACAGACUCAGGAAGCGGGAUUCGUGACACUUUUGGUACAUUCAACAACAGAGCGAUACGAUCCUUGUUUCAGCAGGAUGUUGUAUCUAUACCUUAUGUCAUGCCUUAUUGGAAUGGAUUUAUUGAUAAUAUCUGUUGGAAAAAAGUUUGGAUGUUGCCACACACAUAUCUACUUGUUAACAAAAUUAAGGAAGUUUCCUUUAUAAUUAUUCAUAAAUAUUAUCCUGCCAACCACUAUAUGAAGAAGUUUAAGGAAAACAUCAACUCCAAUUGCUCCUUUUGUAAUGACCACCCAGAAACAGUUGUGCAUCUUUUUUGGCAUUGUAUGCAUGUAAGAAAACUGUGGCAAGACAUCAGUAGGUUUAUAAUUGAACACAUUUAUGAAGAUUUUACCAUAUUGUGGAGAGAUGUACUGUUUGGAUUCUUUACAUACAAUAGAAAUAAGCGGAAUCAUUUUUAUGUAAUUAAUUUCAUUAUUCUUUUGGCCAAAUUUCAUAUACACAAAUGUAAAUUUACAAACAGAAAACCACAUUUUCGUACCCUACAAAAAGAAAUUGAACUGUAUUUUAAGACGGUUAAAUGCUCUACUAACAAAAAAGCUGUUAGAAUUGUAAGUAUAUGCAUGUCCCUUAAGGUCCUUGUGUAAUUGUAAUGUGAUAUUGUACCCCCUAGCACGAUUGUCCAUUGUUCGUAAUCUAUGUAUGCUUGUGUUCCCUCAUGUGCUUUAUGUAUUGAUUUGUUGUUAAUAAAAAAAUAAAAAAUAAAAAAAUAAAAAAUAAAAAUAAAUAAAUUAAAAAAUUAAAAAAUUGUAUCAUGUUCAGUACUCUCGAGAAUAAACGCUAUUGCUUGAUUAUGAGACUGGGCUCCGCCCAUUUUAUGCAAAUAAGUAUCUUACAAAUCCUUAGAAAUGGGCUGAGUGUAUUAAUUGAAUUGGGUAAUAAACAUAUAGAAAUGUAAUUCCUCUAACAGAUGUUUUGAGAGAAUACAUAAAUUCCUUGGUAAAAGCCUACAUGUAUCAGGAAUAACCAGAUAAUAUUUUCGUUCCUCUCCUGAGAUAAUGAGAAUUACGGGGUUGGAGUUUGAGACAGAAAAUGAUGUUGCCACAAAGCAGAACACAUUUGUUGGACUUUGCAAAUCAUUAAUACCUUGCGCAAUGAAAUACGCAAACCUUGCUGUCCCUUUGCGUUCUUCACCCACUGUCAAUCAAGGUCAUUGUUACAUUGUUUCACCAAAUGGAGCCAGAGAUUGCAAUUUCAUCGAACAUUUUUAGAAUGUUACAAUAUUUGUAGGCAUAAAUGGCAACAUCGAUUUGCAGCGUUUACACACGCAUAAACUCGUUCUGCGCACAUUCCGUAUUGUCUGCCAUUCA